AGCAGAGCGACACAUCUGUGUCCGAAACAUUGGCAGAAUUCAGCGGGCUCAAAGCCCGGUGACGUCACCGCCUCCCUCCACGGCGCUCACGCUCUCCAACGCCUUCCCGUCUCGUGUCGCGGCCUCCAGCGCGUGCAACGGCCACGUGGGAAAACCCGCAAAGGUCAUUCCCAACAGCCAAAGCACGACCACUUUCGGGAGUCAUGAGGGGCCUCCCACAGGAAUCCGUCUUGAUGUAAAGACCGACGAAACGUCCGUCCAGCUCCAGUCCUUCGCUUUCCCACACUUCCAGCCCGGAGCGGCCGCUGGCAAAGCCAACACCUCUACGCGUCCCACCCUUGCUGCCAAAAAGAUGCCAACCUCUGCCGGGUGUGUGGUUGUUUUAGAAAGGGAAGCCCACCCGCUGCCCUCGGGGGGGGCGACACUGUCGUGUCAACACGGUCUCACGGAUCAGUGCCAGCUGAUCCCUGGUGCAGAACAGUGCGGUGAGGUGGUGGCAGCCAACGCUUUCCUCCGCCGACUGCACUGAAGAAACAACACCGGCGGCUGGGCCCACGCCAGCUUCCUGCCACCCGGUCAAC
ensembl:lncRNA